GAAUACCGGGUAAAUCUGGACCCUGCCUUGGUUACAAACUGGUCACCAAGGAAGCCCUAGACCAAACUACCACACUGGGGAACAAUAGUGAGUGGUCACAAGAGAGGGAGAGGAGAGCCUGUAACGGAGCACACGUCUUUCACUGUUGUGGGCUGAGUGAUAACCAGGCAGGUAAAGGCUUGAAACAAUAAACUGUAAUUGAUCUGUUGGGAUUUUAAUAAAACCUUUGAGGCAAUAAAAAUGCUUUUAUGAAAAACAGGUCUGGGUAUCUUUUCUAAGAAGGUCUUUACUGUAACUGCUGGUUUAAAUGUUAAUUAUGGUUUUGUAAGGCAUCUCUUCUCAGCAAGUGAUAAGCAGCAGAGGGGAGAUUUGGUGUAGUCAGCCCUGUGCCUGUGAGAUCAUGUCCCUUUGGAAAACUCCAUGCCCAUGCCCAUGUUCUUCUUGAAACUUGGACAGCUCAGGGAUGAUUUGUGAAUCCUUGGGGUAUCUACAGCAUGUAGAGAAGCGAGGAAUCUGUGGGAAUGCUGUGUCAUGCGAGCGAGGACUAUUUAUAGCCAAGGAAGCUGAAAAGGUACCUUUGUCCUUGAUUCCCACUUUUCCAUGUUCCUUAGAACAGGAAUGCUGAAGACUCACGUCAGAGAUUUAACAAGAGGAGUGCGACAGGUGAUGGGAGCGAUGCACAAAGGGGAAGCAUCUGAUGCUGCCUCAUACAGCUUUUGUUUUUGAAGCUGUGCAGAAAAAUGAUGACAAAGAGAUCAGAUAAAAAUGG